rnacentral:sRNA from 1 species
UAACAUCCUUGACAGUAGUGAAUUCAGCCAUUUCGAAUUGUUGUUUUUGUGCAAUCAACCAUCAAUUGCACAAAAACAACAAUUCGAAAUGGCUGAAUUCACUGCUGUCAAGGAUGUUAACU